rnacentral:misc_RNA from 1 species
UCGCGGCUUAUCACCGGCAGUCCCCCUAGAGUGCCCAACUUAAUGGUGGCAACUAAAGGCAAGGGUUGCGCUCGUUGCGGGACUUAACCCAACAUCUCACGACACGAGCUGACGACAGCCAUGCAGCACCUGUCACCGGCCAAUUGAAGAGCUCCGUCUCCGGAGCCCCGACCGGGAAGUCAAGGGCUGGUAAGGUUCUUCGCGUUGCCUCGAAUUAAGCCACACACUCCACCGCUUGUGCAGGCCCCCGUCAAUUUCUUUGAGUUUUAAUCUUGCGACCGUACUUCCCAGGCGGCUUGCUUAACGCGUUAGCUCCGCCACAAGAGGGGUCGAUUCCUCUUACAGCAAGCAAGCACCGUUUAGGGCUAGGACUAC